rnacentral:rRNA from 1 species
GACGAACGCUGGCGGCGUGCUUAACACAUGCAAGUCGAACGAUGAACCGGGUGCUUGCACUUGGGGAUUAGUGGCGAACGGGUGAGUAACACGUGAGUAACCUGCCCUGGACUCUGGGAUAACCCCGAGAAAUCGGAGCUAAUACCGGAUAGGACCUUCUCCCUCAUGGGGGUUGGUGGAAAGUUUUUCGGUUUGGGAUGGACUCGCGGCCUAUCAGCUUGUUGGUGAGGUAAUGGCUCACCAAGGCGUCGACGGGUAGCCGGCCUGAGAGGGUGACCGGCCACACUGGGACUGAGACACGGCCCAGACUCCUACGGGAGGCAGCAGUGGGGAAUAUUGCACAAUGGGCGCAAGCCUGAUGCAGCAACGCCGCGUGCGGGAUGACGGCCUUCGGGUUGUAAACCGCUUUUAGUAAGGAAGAAGGGGCUUCGGCCUUGACGGUACUUGCAGAAAAAGGACCGGCUAACUACGUGCCAGCCGCCGCGGUAAUAC